ACUGUGGGCUGCAGAUUGAAUUUGUCAGGAGGACAGAAGCCAGUCACCUUCCCUACCUGUAUGCAGCGUGGAGCAAAUGACAACAGCAUUGUCAAAGGAGUGUCCAUUUUCUCACCCGGAUGUAGAGACCCUCCUGACCCAUUACAGGCUUCAUAACGGUCACCAGGGAAAAAGCUGGCUCUGCCUCCACCCCAAGUGCAUGUGCAUCUUUAAGACUUCAGGAUGCAGAUGCUGAGGAGGACUAGAGGCAUGAAAAUUGGAAUCUUGACCGUCAUUGAAGACGACCUCGCCAUGAAAGCACCAGACACUGUUACCAAUAUCGCCAUCGUCCUGGAAGAGACUGUUGUUCUACAGGACAUCAAGGAUCUUCCAUCUGCACUGGCCUACCUAUGCGGACUCCUGCACGACAUGGGGUGCCAAUACUUAUGACCCCUGUAUUUUAAGGAAGAACUUUUAUUUAUUUAUGAUACAUUAUUCAUUCACAAA